UCGGGAAUUUUGGGCAAUGGGCGAAAGCCUGACCCAGCAACGCCGCGUGAAGGAUGAAGUAUUUCGGUAUGUAAACUUCGUAAGAAUAGGAAGAAUAAAUGACGGUACUAUUUGUAAGGUCCGGCUAACUACGUGCCAGCAGCCGUGGUAAUACGUAGGGACCAAGCGUUGUUCGGAUUUACUGGGCGUAAAGGGCGCGUAGGCGGUGUGUCAAGUCAGUUGUGAAAUCUCCGAGCUUAACUCGGAACGGUCAACUGAUACUGUCACACUAGAGUACAGAAGGGGCAAUCGGAAUUCUUGGUGUAGCGGUGAAAUGCGUAGAUAUCAAGAGGAACACCUGAGGCGAAGGCGGGUUGCUGGGCUGAUACUGACGCUGAGGCGCGAAAGCUAGGGUAGCAAACGGGAUUAGAUACCCCCGUAGUCCCUGAGCGGGCUGGCAAGGCGCAU
rnacentral:rRNA from 1 species